UAACGAAUCUUCCGCAAUGGGCGAAAGCCUGACGGAGCAAUGCCGCGUGUGGGAUGAAGCGCCUUCGGCGUGUAAACCACUGUCAGGGAAUGGAACCAAUGAUUAUUCCCAAAGGAAGUGGCGACUAACUCUGUGCCAGCAGUCGCGGUAAUACAGAGGCCACAAGCGUUAGUCGGAAUCACUGGGCUUAAAGGGUGCGUAGGCGGGCCCGCAAGCGUCUUGUGAAAUCCCAUGGCUCAACCAUGGAAUUGCAGGGCGAACUGCGGGUCUUGAGGCAGGUAGGGGCCGGAAGAACAGUAGGUGGAGCGGUGAAAUGCGUAGAUAUCUACUGGAAUGCCGAUGGGGAAGCCGUCCGGCUGGGCCUGUCCUGACGCUGAGGCACGAAAGCGUGGGGAGCAAACAGGAUUAGAUACCCUCGUAGUCCCUGAGCGGGCUGGCAAGGCGCAU
rnacentral:rRNA from 1 species